rnacentral:snRNA from 1 species
CCUUUUGGCUAAGAUCAAGUGUAGUAUCUGUUCUUAUCAGUUUAAUAUCUGAUACGUCCCCUAUCUGGGGACCAGGAUAUUAAAUGGAUUUUUGGAACAGGGAGAUGGAAGAAGAGCUUGCUCUGUCCACUCCACGCAUCGACCUGGUAUUGCAGUACCUCCAGGACCGGUGCACCUCUC